rnacentral:rRNA from 1 species
ACGAGAAGGCAGCUACACGGCGACGUGAUGCUAAUCCCUAAAAGCCUCUCUCAGUUCGGAUUGGAGUCUGCAACCCGACUCCAUGAAGCUGGAUUCGCUAGUAAUCGCGCAUCAGCCACGGCGCGGUGAAUACGUUCCCGGGCCUUGUACACACCGCCCGUCAAGCCAUGAAAGCCGGGGGGUACCUGAAGUGCGUAACCGCAAGGAGCGCCCUAGGGUAAAACUGGUGAUUGGGGCUAAGUCGUAACAAGGUAAC